rnacentral:misc_RNA from 1 species
GAAAAACGCCAAAGGCGAGUGUUGAAAUAAUAAAAGUCAAGUGUGUAAUUAAUGUUUUAUUUAGUGUUCCGUUCGUGUGGCAGCCACCGGCUGCAGCAAGCGGCAGCAGCCCAAUAAGCGGCCAACAAGUGCAACAACAGCCAACAACGAAAAGCUUCAAUAAAAUGAUAACCUGAGGCUUCGACUCUGCAUGUAAACAGUUUAAAUUGAAAAUUCAAAAGUAUAAAUAAAAAACUAGUAAA